AACGAACGCUGGCGGCAUGCCUAACACAUGCAAGUCGAACGAUCCCUUCGGGGAUAGUGGCGCACGGGUGCGUAACGCGUGGGAACCUGCCCUUAGGUUCGGAAUAACUCAGAGAAAUUUGAGCUAAUACCGGAUAAUGUCUUCGGACCAAAGAUUUAUCGCCUUUGGAUGGGCCCGCGUUGGAUUAGCUAGUUGGUGGGGUAAAGGCCUACCAAGGCGACGAUCCAUAGCUGGUCUGAGAGGAUGAUCAGCCACACUGGGACUGAGACACGGCCCAGACUCCUACGGGAGGCAGCAGUGGGGAAUAUUGGACAAUGGGCGAAAGCCUGAUCCAGCAAUGCCGCGUGAGUGAUGAAGGCCUUAGGGUUGUAAAGCUCUUUUACCCGGGAUGAUAAUCACAGUACCGGGAGAAUAAGCCCCGGCUAACUCCGUG
rnacentral:rRNA from 1 species